rnacentral:rRNA from 1 species
AUUGAACGCUGGCGGCAGGCCUAACACGUGCAAGUCGAGCGGAUGAAGGGAGCUUGCUCUUGGAUUCAGCGGCGGACGGGUGAGUAAUGCCUAGGAAUCUGCCUGGUAGUGGGGGAUAACGUCCGGAAACGGGCGCUAAUACCGCAUACGUCCUGAGGGAGAAAGUGGGGGAUCUUCGGACCUCACGCUAUCAGAUGAGCCUAGGUCGGAUUAGCUAGUUGGUGGGGUAAAGGCCUACCAAGGCGACGAUCCGUAACUGGUCUGAGAGGAUGAUCAGUCACACUGGAACUGAGACACGGUCCAGACUCCUACGGGAGGCAGCAGUGGGGAAUAUUGGACAAUGGGCGAAAGCCUGAUCCAGCCAUGCCGCGUGUGUGAAGAAGGUCUUCGGAUUGUAAAGCACUUUAAGUUGGGAGGAAGGGCAGUAAGUUAAUACCUUGCUGUUUUGACGUUACCAACAGAAUAAGCACCGGCUAACUUCGUG